UCAUCAAAUAUAUUUAUAAAAAAAAAAAAUAUGCAAGCAGAUGACAGGAUAAUGAGUGAGAAACGUAGGAUUAUGAAUUGAAACUGAAUCAUGUCUAUUGUAAAUUGCAUUACUGUAAUAAAAACUUCCACUGAUUAUGAAAAGAAUGUCAUUAUUUAUCAAACAAAAAAAAAACAUUUAGAAAAUAUUUUGUCUUUGUUCUUACUUCAUGACAAGCAUUUUGUCAAACUAAAUGUCUGAGUGUUGUCAGCAGCUGAGGUGUUUCUGCUCUCAGUGUGUUGAAGUGUUGUUUCUCUCUCUGCUGGAGUUUGUGUUCACUCGAGUGGAAUAGAGGUUUUUGUACGAGUGUUUCAUUCGAUUGUAUCACUGUGGUACACAUUCGGUGGAGGAACUAAACUGGUGCUCGGUAAGUCUGGCUCUUUUAACUGUCUUGUACAAAAUUGUUGAAAUGUUUUUUAAAUGAUUUGAAUAUUUAAUAGAAAUGAUUUUAUUGUCACCUUAAGAGCUUCAAAAUAACUUAAUUAUAUAUACUCAGCAAACAAUUAUUGUCCAAACACAUUACUAUAAUGUGUCACUUUGAGUUUCAUCAGUUUUAUCAUUUAGUUUGACAAAAUGCUGAUUUAUUUUCAUGCAUUUUUACACUGAUCAUAUAAAGUUAAUUUUUUUUAAUGCAAAUAUAGUUUUUGUAGUUCAAAGAUUUUGAAUCUCUUUUGCUAAUAUUGUGCAUCAAAAAAAAACAUACAAAAUACAAAAUAUAUGAAUGUUUAGAAAUGUUUUUGAAAUAUUAUGAAAUAAUUUGCUUUUGCAUUGUAAUAGUUUGAAAAGUGUAAAAAAAAAAAUAAGUAAAAACUAAAGUCCGUAAAAAACAUUUUAAGUUCAAGUAAGAUAUAAUGUAAGAACUUUAUGAUGAUAUAUUAAAUUAUACUAAAAUGAUACCAGUCAGUGCCAUUGUACAUUUGGUUUCAUUUUAUGAUGUUUCAUUUAUAUAGUAUAAUAUGUAUAUAGUGUUUGUGUAGUUUGUAUAUUGUGUAUAUAUCAGCUGCAGUGAUGAUGAAUUAGAUGAAUGAUGAGAUUGUUGUGAUUUUUACUGCAUCUCACACGUCUGCUGCUGAAAGUGAUGUUGAAAUGAUGUGAAUGCUGCAGGGCAGAAGAGUGCUGGAGCUGCAGUGUGUUUUCUUUGUGUUUGUGACUGUGUUGUGUUUGUCUCCUGCAGCUGGUCCCACAGUGAAGCCCUCAGUGUCUCUCCUGCCGCCCUCUUCUCUGCAGAUCUCUGGAGACUCAGCCGCACUGCUCUGUCUGCUCAGCUCUUACUCUCCACAGGGGGCGCUGGUGAGCUGGACACUGGACGGCUCAGAGGUCACCGAGGGGGUUGUGACCAGCGCCGAGAGCGAGCAGGACGGCCGCUACAGCCGCAGUAGUGUCCUGACCCUCAGCAAAGCACGCUGGGAAGAGGGAGAGCUGUACGUCUGCAGAGUAACACAUGAUGGAGCUCCUCAUGAAGCCUCGUUCCACAAGAGUCGCUGUUAGUCGCUCGCAGUGCUGAUGUUUCUCCAGUGAGCGCUGCUCUCUCCUGAAGAUGAACGUAUCUGAGUGUCCUGUGUCAGGCAGGAUUCACAUGAGUCUAGUGCUGCAGCUGUAGUCAUUUACAACUCAAUACUGAAAGAGAGCUCUAGUGUCAAAGCACUGGCUGAUCUUUCAAUCUGCUGUGUUUGCUGCAACAUUCAAUAAAGCUUC